rnacentral:rRNA from 1 species
UACGUAGGUGACAAGCGUUGUCCGGAUUUACUGGGCGUAAAGAGCGCGCAGGCGGUCGAUCAAGUCGAGUGUGAAAGCCCCCGGCUCAACCGGGGAGGGUCAUUCGAUACUGAUCGACUCGAAGGCAGGAGAGGGUAGUGGAAUUCCCGGUGUAGUGGUGAAAUGCGUAGAUAUCGGGAGGAACACCAGUGGCGAAGGCGACUACCUGGCCUGUUCUUGACGCUGAGGCGCGAAAGCUAGGGGAGCAAACGGGG